rnacentral:rRNA from 1 species
UCGAACGCGAAAGAAGCCUUCGGGUUUCAAGUAGAGUGGCGUCCGGGUGAGUAACACGUAGGUAAUCUACCUUCGGGUGGGGAAUAACGCAGGGAAACUUGCGCUAAUACCGCAUAAUGCAGCGGCACCACAUGGUGACAGUUGUUAAAGCGGGGGAUUUUCGGACCUCGCGCCUGAAGAGGAGCCUGCGGCAGAUUAGCUAGUUGGUAAGGUAACGGCUUACCAAGGCGACGAUCUGUAGCCGGCCUGAGAGGGCGGUCGGCCACACUGACAUUGACAUACGGGUCAGACUCCUACGGGAGGCAGCAGUCGGGAAUUUUGGGCAAUGGGCGAAAGCCUGACCCAGCAACGCCGCGUGAAGGAUGAAAUCCUUCGGGAUGUAAACUUCGCAAGAAUGGGAAGAAUAGACGAGUACUAAUACUGCUCGUGAUGACGGUACCAUUUGUAAGCUCCGGCUAACUCCGUGCCAGCAGCCGCGGUAAUACGGGGGGAGCAAGCGUUGUUCGGAUUUACUGGGCGUAAAGGGCGCGUAGGCGGCCAGCGCAAGUCAGUUGUGAAAUCUCCGGGCUUAACUCGGAAAGGUCAACUGAUACUGCGCGGCUAGAGUGCAGAAGGGGCAACUGGAAUUCUCGGUGUAGCGGUGAAAUGCGUAGAUAUCGAGAGGAACACCUGCGGCGAAGGCGGGUUGCUGGGCUGACACUGACGCUGAUGCGCGAAAGCCAGGGGAGCGAACGGGAUUAGAUACCCCGGUAGUCCUGGCCUUAAACGAUGGAUGCUUGGUGUCUGGAGU